UCAUGCAAGAGAGCAACAGGGCAGAUUUCCUAUGACUGACAGAUGAGAGCUUCACGCCGCUGGUACAAGGAGAGAGAGCCGUCAGGGCUGGUGGGUGCAGAGGCCAUCAGAUGUCCUCUGCGUAUGCAUCAGAUGGCACUUUCAGCCAGUUAACUGAAGACUUUUGUGGGCCACCACAGAGUUUCAGUGUGCUGUCAGGUGGAAGCAUCUGCCUCGCCGUGCGAGGAAAGCCUUCCUCACCCAGCAUAAAGCUCCUUACUCACGCAGGUUUUGAUGUGCAAGGGGCAGCUGAGGCAGGGUCAGCAUGAGGCCUUCAAAUUCCUCCAGACACCAAAGUCACCUCUGACCUGGCCACAGAGGGGAGGGACAGAAGAGAAAUACCGUCUUGCUGCUGCCAGGAACGAGUCCCCUCCACCCCUGCCAAAAACCCCAGCUGUCCGCCGCUCAGCUGCCAGCGCAGCUUUCCCCGUGCAGCUCCCAAGGUCUUGCCUACAGCGGGGAGCUGAACCAAAGGUGGUGACAGGUUUACACCCUGAAUUAACCGAGCCCGAGAGCAGCCAUUGCUUCUAUUGCCUUCUCCGGGGACUUCAUGUGCUCCACACCUUGGGAAGGCCAGCUCCUGGAGCCUGCCGAAACACGCGGCCCAAACUGCGGGCUGCACAUCGCCUCCUCGGUGUUCGUUGUAUCGCUGGCCUGAGUGGCUGCGAAGAUAAGGGGGGAGCAGAUGGCGCUUGCUUAUCGCUCGGCCUCCUCCCGGGGGGGGUGAAG
rnacentral:lncRNA from 1 species